rnacentral:tRNA from 1 species
GAGGUGUAUUAACACAAAGAUCUGCUAAAUCUUACAACUGAAACUAAGAACUUCAGACC